rnacentral:rRNA from 1 species
UACGUAGGGGGCAAGCGUUGUCCGGAAUCAUUGGGCGUAAAGCGCGUGUAGGCGGCUCGAUACGUCUGCUGUGAAAGUCCAAGGCUCAACCUUGGGAUGCCGGUGGAUACUGUCGAGCUCGAGUCCGGAAGAGGAGUGUGGAAUUCCUGGUGUAGCGGUGAAAUGCGCAGAUAUCAGGAGGAACACCAAUGGCGAAGGCAGCACUCUGGGACGUGACUGACGCUGAGACGCGAAAGCGUGGGGAGCAAACAGG